rnacentral:rRNA from 1 species
AUGAGGAUCUGUGCGCAUCUCUGGAGCUGUUCAACCUGGCGACCAAAUGCCAGGAAGCGGUGGAAUCAUCACAGUCCCCUGCAAAGAGAAAGAUGCGGUGUGCUCCCUCGAGCGCGCUGUAGGACCUUGAAGUAUGUCUAG